AGGCGAAUAAAGCAAUUGUAAUUCUUUACCAAUUAUCCAAUAGCAGUCCCGACAAAGUCUUACGUGAGCAAGUUCUACAAUUUAUAUUACAAAUAAAACAAAGAAAAGUCCAGUUUUCUGGUAUGGGACUUUUUUACUUUGGUAACAAUUUUAUUCGUCAGUUCUAUACAGCAGUCGCUACUGUCGUCGUGAUUAUACUACAGAUGAAUAUAACUUAUACGUAUUCAAUUGUAUUGGAUAAACUGUCUAGAUUUCGAACGAUAUAGACAGAUUCUGGUUGAAUCUACCAGGUUUCCUAUUAAUGCAAUCAGAUUUUAAUAGAUUGUGCAGCCAAACCAGAUUCUGGUUGCAUUAAUAGAAUUAAUAUAAAUUAAUAUGCAUUAAUAUAGAUUUAUUAGGUUGCAUUAAAUCUAGUAGAUUCAACCAGAA